GUGGGGAAUUUUGGACAAUGGGCGAAAGCCUGAUCCAGCAAUGCCGCGUGUGUGAAGAAGGCCUUCGGGUUGUAAAGCACUUUUGGCAGGGAAGAAACAGUGCGUGCUAAUACCAUGCGCGAAUGACGGUACCUGCAGAAUAAGCACCGGCUAACUACGUGCCAGCAGCCGCGGUAAUACGUAGGGUGCAAGCGUUAAUCGGAAUUACUGGGCGUAAAGCGUGCGCAGGCGGCUUUGUAAGACGGAUGUGAAAGCCCCGGGCUCAACCUGGGAAGUGCAUUCGUGACUGCAAGGCUAGAUUGUGGCAGAGGGAGGUGGAAUUCCUCGUGUAGCAGUGACAUGCGUAGAGAUGCGGAGGAACACCGAUGGCGAAGGCAGCCUCCUGGGAUAACACUGUCGCUCAGGCACGAAAGCGUGGGGAUCGAACAGGAUUAGAUACCCCUGUAGUCC
rnacentral:rRNA from 1 species